GCUUACGACCACACCGGCCUGAGUACGCUGAUCUCGUCUGAUCUCGGAAGCUAAGCAGGGUCGGGCCUGGUUAGUACUUGGAUGGGAGACCGCCUGGGAAUACCAGGUGCUGUAAGCU
rnacentral:rRNA from 1 species